rnacentral:rRNA from 1 species
UUAGUGGAAGCGUCUGGAAAGGCGUGCGAUACAGGGUGACAGCCCCGUACACAAAAAUGCACAUAUUGUGAGCUUGAUGAGUAGGGCGGGACACGUGGUAUCCUGUCUGAAUAUGGGGGGACCAUCCUCCAAGGCUAAAUACUCCUGACUGACCGAUAGUGAACCAGUACCGUGAGGGAAAGGCGAAAAGAACCCCGGCGAGGGGAGUGAAAAAGAACCUGAAACCGUGUACGUACAAGCAGUGGGAGCACGCUUAGGCGUGUGACUGCGUACCUUUUGUAUAAUGGGUCAGCGACUUAUAUUCUGUAGCAAGGUUAACCGAAUAGGGGAGCCGAAGGGAAACCGAGUCUUAACUGGGCGUUAAGUUGCAGGGUAUAGACCCGAAACCCGGUGAUCUAGCCAUGGGCAGGUUGAAGGUUGGGUAACACUAACUGGAGGACCGAACCGACUAAUGUUGAAAAAUUAGCGGAUGACUUGUGGCUGGGGGUGAAAGGCCAAUCAAACCGGGAGAUAGCUGGUUCUCCCCGAAAGCUAUUUAGGUAGCGCCUCGUGAAUUCAUCUCCGGGGGUAGAGCACUGUUUCGGCA